UGUAGUAUUUGGUGCUGCUCCCAACAUCUCCAUUCCUGGGCUGAUGUAAUUAGAGGGCACACAACUGGCUUAAGCUCCUACAAGUGCCACCAGGUGGACACAAGAAUCCCAGUUAAUCAAGGAGCCACAUCUAAUCACAGUAUCACAGCAGCCACCCAUCACUACCUCCAGAGAAGCCAGAACAGAUGUUUAAAAGGAUUCUCCUGGGAUUUAAGAGUUCUUCAAGGGAAAAAAAAAAGGGCUCCUCAGCAGGGAAGAGGUCAAAGAAAAGGAGAAUUCAUUCAGGGAAUCGUUUCAUUCUCACAGAGUGUUUUACAGAACGAGAUGGAAAAAGAUGGAAAUGGAUAUUCCCAGAGGACAGUGAUGUAAUACUCCUGCAUGCACUGAUGAGUAUCUCAAGAAUACAACCCUCAGCAGGAAAUAUUAAUUCUUC